GGGGGGAGUUCAGAAUUCUUCUGUAUUCUUGCAGGUUAAUGUGUGUGUGUGUGUGUGUGUGCAUAUAUGUGUGUGUGUGUGUGUGUGUGUGUGUGUGUGUGUGUUUGUGUGUAGUUCAGUGUGCUUGCAGGUUAAUGUGCGCAUGUGCCUCUACUGUACGUGUGUCUAUAAAGCAGAGUCAGUACUCAGACAGACAGACAGACAGACAGACAGACAGACAGACACCAUGUCUCCCUCCCAGUCCUCCCUACUAGUACUGCUGCUGAUGGUCUCCUGCUCCUGGGCCCCCCGCUCCUUAGGAGGAACCAUGACCUUCAUCUUCAUAGGGACCAACCCAGACGGGACCUACGGGGUGAGACCAAAGCACAAUGAUGAUGCUUCCUAUUAAAGAUGCAAUAUGCAGAAAUCACUCUGUCAUUUCCUGGUUGCUACAAUUGUAAUAGUUUGUCUAAUUUCAGUUUGUGACAAAACAAGCUUGUAUAGCGUAGAUCUAAACUGCUGUGAAAUAUAUUUUCAAUAACCAACAAUAUAGUAUUUUCAGCUUUUUGAAGCUGUUAUACAAAACUGAAAGUAAAAGACACAAAAAGACAGAUCUAUAACUCACAUUUCUACAUAUUGCAGCUUUAAGUGUUUUCUUCAACUGAGAGAAAUUAUAAUUUGUUCUUGUUGUCAUCUUGAAAAAUACAUUCUUCAUAGGGUUGGAAUAUUACUAGUAACUUUCUAAAUGUACCAGUAAACUAACAGAAUGUACCAGUAAACUAUCAGAAUGUACCAGUAAACUACCAACAUUUACCAGUAAACUACCAGCAUUUCGAAAACAUUCAAGGAGUUUUCCUAACGUGAAAUAUAUAAAAUAAUUUUUUGAAAUCCUAUUACAAAUCUAUAAAACAAAGCAGUAAAACAUUAUCCUUGUCACAAUCUUCGUCAUCUGAAGAGGAGAAAUCAUCGGACCAAUAUGCAGCGGGUAUAUUGCUCAUUUUCGAUUUAUUGAAGGUAAACACACUUAAACAAACUAACAACGAUAACAGCCCAGUAAGGUGCCAGACUAUAGUAGGAACAACCACCCACAAAACACAAGAGAAAACAAACCCACUUAAAUAUGGCCUCCAAUUAGAGGCAACGACAACCAGCUGCCUCUAACUGGAGGUCGUUCCCAAAACCCAAACAUAGAAAUAUAAAAACUAGAUAAACACAUAGAAAUAGAAAAUAUAGAACAUAAACCAAAAACCCCGAAACACACAAACCAAACACCCCCUGGCACACCCUGACCAAACUACAAUAACAAAUAACCCCUUUUACUGGUCAGAACGUGACUAUUCUAAAUAUAACCCAUAAAUUUAGUGAAUAUUGUUGCUGAGUGUUUCACCAUGGAAAAUCCUGUAUAUUUCAAUAUUCAAAAUGUCUCAAUAUAUCAAAUCAAAUGUAUUUAUAUAGCCCUUCUUACAUCAGCUGAUAUCUCAAAGUGCUGUACAGAAACCCAGCCUAAAACCCCAAGCAGCAAGCAUUGCAGGUGUAGAAGCACGGUGGCUAGGAAAAACUCCCUAGAAAGGCCAGAACCUAGGAAGAAACCUAGAGAGGAACCAGGCUAUGAGGGUUGGCCAGUCCCCUUCUGGCUGUGCCGGGUGGAGAUUAUAACAGAACAUGGCCAAGAUGUUCAAAUGUUCAGAAAUGACCAGCAGGGUCAAAUAAUAAUAAUCACAGUGGUUGUAGAGGGUGCAACAGGUCAGCACCUCAGGAGUAAAUGUCAGUUGGCUUUUCAUAGCCGAUCAUUGAGAGUAUCUCUACCGCUCCUGCUGUCUCUGUCUUGGUUGAUGUUUGAUGUAAAUGUUUUUGGGCCAAACUGGCGCCAGUCGCAGUUAUGACAAAAAUCAAUAGUUGGUAGUGUUGCAGAGUUAAUUGGUAAAUAUGUCAUUGUUGAUUAGAUGUUUUUUAAUUAAUUGGGCUAUUUUCUAACCACAUGGUCUAUCUAUUAGAAAGUUAUGGUAAACAUGGAAAUAGAUAUAAAGAAUAUGAAAAACAAAUCUGAAAACAUAUAUAAAUUACCAAUGUUUCCAUAGAUUUCCAAAAUGACAUUUGAAAAUUACUGGGGGUUUUGCUAACCUAUUCUUAGCUAAAGAGGCUUGUAAAAUGGACUCUACUGGUAGAAAUGGAACGCACAAUGUUUCCCUGUGGUCUGUGGUGCAUGUUUGCUGCCCUCUAGUGUUUAUUGUCAUGUAUGGCUCUCCUUUUCUCACUACAUAUACCCACUCCUAUUCACUUUGUAUACCCACUCCUAUUCACUACGUAUAGCCACUCCUAUUCACUACUUAUACCCACUCCUAUUCACUACAUAUACCCACUCCUAUUCACUACUUAUACCCACUCCUAUUCACUACUUAUACCCACUCCUAUUCACUACUUAUACCCACUCCUAUUCACUACUUAUACCCACUCCUAUUCACUACAUAUACCCACUCCUAUUCACUACUUAUACCCACUCCUAUUCACCACUUAUACCCACUCCUAUUCACUACAUAUACCCACUCCUAUUCACUACUUAUACCCACUCCUAUUCACUACUUAUACCCACCCCUAUUUACUACUUAUACCGACUCCUAUUCACUACCUAUGCCCACUCCUAUUCACAGCUUAUACCCGCUCCUAUUCACUACGUACACCCACUCCUAUUCACUGCUUAAAUCCUACCCUAUUCGACUACGUAUACCCACUCCUAUUCACUGCUUAUACCCACUCCUAUUCAAGUCUUCUCAGUAUACAAUGCCCCCCCCCCCCCCAUCCACCCCUACGGAUCUAUAAAACUUACUCCACAUUUUCAAAGUGAUAGAACAUUUUUGAAAAUGUUCCACAUUAAUACAAAAACCAUGUCUUCACACCCUGGGGGGCGGCAGGUAUCCUCGUGGUUAGAAUAGUGUAGGGGCGGCAGGUAGCCUCGUGGUUAGAAUGUAGGGGGGCAGGUAGCCUAGUGGUUAGAGUGUAGAGGCGGCAGGUAGCCUAGUGGUUAGAGUGUAGGGGGGUAGGUAGUCUAGUGGUUAGAGUGUAGGGGCGGCAGGUAGACUAGUGGUUAGAGUGUAGGGUGGGUAGGUAGCCUAGUGGUUAGAGUGUGGGGGGGCAGGUAGCCUAGUGGUUAGAGUGUAGGGGGGGCAGGUAGCCUAGUGGUUAGAGUGUAGAGGGGUAGGUAGCCUAGUGGUUAGAGUGUAGAGGGGUAGGUAGCCUAGUGGUUAGAGUGUAGAGGGGUAGGUAGCCUAGUGGUUAGAGUGUAGGGGGUGUAGGUAGCCUAGUGGUUAGAGUGUAGGGGCGGCAGGUAGCCUAGUGGUUAGAGUGCAGGGGCGGCAGGUAGCCUAGUGGUUAGAGUGUAGGGGCGGUAGGUAGCCUAGUGGUUAGAGUGUAGUGGUGGCAGGUAGCCUAGUGGUUAGAGUGUAGGGGGGUAGGUAGCCUAGUGGUUAGAGUGUAGGGGGGUAGGUAGCCUAGUGGUUAGAGUGUAGGGGGGUAGGUAGCCUAGUGGUUAGAGUGUAGGGGGGUAGGUAGCCUUGUGGUUAGAGCUUUGGGCCAGUAACCGAAAGGUUGCUAGAUCGAAUUCCUGAACUGACAAGAUAAAAAUCUGUCGUUCUACCCCUGAACAAUGCGGUUAUUCCACUGUUCCUAGGCCGUCAUCGUCAAUAAGAAUUUGUUAUUAACUGUCUAGUAAAAUAAAACCCUUGAGAUAAUACUUGGUGGAAGCUCUGUUUACAGUUAUACAUUUUUUCUACCAAGAUUCUACCAACUUGGCACAAAUUUUAGGGUAACACAAAGUGCUCAAGCUCAGUAAAACCAUUCUGGUGUGUUUUUAUUAUGUGUAAAUGUCUCGCUGAACAUAAAACUUUCCCAGGGUUAGAUUUUCAGAAGAUUGAGGUAUUUCCAUCUAACUUUCCUUCUUCAUAUUUAUUUUGAUCCUGACAAACUCCCCAGUUCCUGCCGGUGACAAGCAUACCCAUAACAUGAUGCGGCCACCACAACACUUGAAAAUACAGAGAAUCAAUUACAAAAGACAUUAUUCUAAAGACACAACUGAAUGGUUCACCAAGAGGUUAUGAGUGUUCCUGAUUGGUCCAGUUUCCAUCCUCAUGACUUCAAUCAGCUUGGAAAUUUUAACUAGGCAAGUCAGUUAAGAGCAUAUUCUUAUUUACAAUGACAGCCUAGGAACAGUGGGUUAACUGCCUUGUUCAGGGGCAGAACAACAGUUUUUUAUCUUGGCGGCUCUGGGAUUUGAUCUUGCAACCAUUUGGUUACUAGUCUAACACUCUAACCACUAGGCUACCUGCCACCCCAAUACAAUCGAUACAAUACAAUCCCCGAGCUGACAAGGUAAAAAUCUGUCGUUCUGCCCGUGAACAAGGCAGUUAACCCACUGUUCCUAGGCUGUCAUUGAAAAUAGGACUUUGUCCUUAAUUAAUAACCUGUUGGGGCUAGGGGGUAGCCUUAAUCCCCCAGUUGGGAUUGCUAGCAAGGCGGGAAAUUCAAAACAUCAAAAAUCUAAUAAUUUCAAUUUCUCAAACAAUCAACUAUUUUACACCAUUUAAAAGAUAAACAUCUCCUUAAUCGAACCACAUUGUUCGAUUUUCAAAGAGGCUUUACGCCGAAAGCAUGAAGUUAGAUUACGUUAGGACAGUACAUAGCCCAAAAAGUACAAACAUCCAUUUUCAAUUCAAGGACAGGCGUCACCAAAAGCAGAAAACCAGCUAAAAUUAUGCACUAACCUUUGACAAUCUUCCUCAGAUGACACUCCUAGGACAUUAUGUUAUACAAUACAUGCAUUUUUGUUCCAUCAAGUUCAUAUUUAUAUCCAAAAACAGCAUUUUACAGUGGCAGAAUUUUACGUUCGUUCAAACAUGUCAAACGUUGUUUAGCAUCAAUCUUUAGGGCAAUUUUUAACGUGAAACAUCAGUAAUGUUUCAACCCGACCUCUCCUGUGUCUCCUGUGUCUUGAAAACCGUUUUUGAUAAAUGUCUCGCCUCACAUGCAUGCGCAGGUGCGCGCAAUAAUGAAGUGACGACGUCCCAGGGACGUCAACUUCUCUUCAUUGUCAUCCGGUCUCUGUUCAUCAUUGACGCUUCAAACAACUUUAUAAAGAUCGUUGACAUCUAGUGGAAGCCGUAGGAAGUGCGAAAUGAAUCCUUUGUCACUGUGUGA
rnacentral:lncRNA from 1 species